rnacentral:rRNA from 1 species
UGGGGAAUUUUGCGCAAUGGACGAAAGUCUGACGCAGCAACGCCGCGUGGGUGAUGAAGGCCUUUGGGUCGUAAAACCCUGUCGAGAGGGAAGAAUGUCGUUAUGGCCAACACCCGUGACGAUUGACUGUACCUCUGGAGGAAGCCCCUGCUAACUCCGUGCCAGCAGCCGCGGUAAUACGGAGGGGGCGAGCGUUGUUCGGAAUCAUUGGGCGUAAAGGGCGCGUAGGCGGCGUCGUAAGUCAGAUGUGAAAGCCCUUGGCUUAACCAAGGAACUGCAUCUGAAACUGCGGUGCGUGAAUCCGGGAGGGGAGAGUGGAAUUCCCAGUGUAGCGGUGAAAUGCGUAGAUAUUGGGAGGAACACCGGCGGCGAAGGCGGCUCUCUGGACCGGUAUUGACGCUGAGGCGCGAAAGCUAGGGGAGCAAACGGG